CAGCUUAUUUUCUGACACUGACAGUCCUUUCUUUCAACUCAUCCAGAAGGCUGACAGCCCAUCUCAUUCCCAUCAUUGUUAUCCCACCAGCUUGCCUGGGAGUUCAGCACUGCAUUUGGCCUGGUCUGCCGGUCUUUCUGAGCCCCUCAUUACUGAGCUGCAACAUCACCAUCCACAACAAUUCAGAAGUCUGUGGAACUGGAGCAUAACAGAGAAAGACAGGACAAGCUGAGAAGAACCAACUGAAAGGAAAAUCUUCAAGUUUGUGGCUAUCAGAGCAAAAGGCAAAAAGGUAGGAUUGCAUCCAUGUGGUUGUUUGUCUUUCACCCACUCACAUUGACUGUAAUGGGACUGCUGGCUCUGUGUCCCUGCCUGUGGGACCCUCACUUUAUAAAGGAGGAAGGGGACAUUAAG
rnacentral:lncRNA from 1 species